AUGCCCGAAGGGUGACGAAGCGACGCCGCGUGGGUGAGGAAGGCCCUCGGGUUGUAAAGCCCUGUCAGGAGUUAAGAAAUGUAGGUGUGCUAAUAUCACGCCUAUUUGACGAAGGCUCCAAAGGAAGUCACGGCUAACUCUGUGCCAGCAGCCGCGGUAAUACAGAGGUGGCAAGCGUUGUUCGGAGUUAUUGGGCGUAAAGAGCACGUAGGUGGGUUUGUAAGUCAGAUGUGAAAGCCUCCUGUUCAACGGGAGAAUUGCAUCUGAAACUACUGACCUUGAGUGUAGGAGGGGAGAAUGGAACUUCUGGUGGAGCGGUGAAAUGCGUAGAUAUCAGAAGGAACGCCGGCGGCGAAAGCGAUUCUCUGGCCUAUUACUGACACUCAGUGUGCGAAAGCUAGGGGAGCAAACGGGAUUAGAUACCCCGGUAGUCCUAGCCGUAAACGAUGGGCACUAAGUAGAGGGGU
rnacentral:rRNA from 1 species